GGUUAAGCGACUAAGCGUACACGGUGGAUGCCCUGGCAGUCAGAGGCGAUGAAGGACGUGCUAAUCUGCGAUAAGCGUCGGUAAGGUGAUAUGAACCGUUAUAACCGGCGAUUUCCGAAUGGGGAAACCCAGUGUGUUUCGACACACUAUCAUUAACUGAAUCCAUAGGUUAAUGAGGCGAACCGGGGGAACUGAAACAUCUAAGUACCCCGAGGAAAAGAAAUCAACCGAGAUUCCCCCAGUAGCGGCGAGCGAACGGGGAGCAGCCCAGAGCCUGAAUCAGUGUGUGUGUUAGUGGAAGCGUCUGGAAAGGCGCGCGAUACAGGGUGACAGCCCCGUACACAAAAAUGCACAUGCUGUGAGCUCGAUGAGUAGGGCGGGACACGUGGUAUCCUGUCUGAAUAUGGGGGGACCAUCCUCCAAGGCUAAAUACUCCUGACUGACCGAUAGUGAACCAGUACCGUGAGGGAAAGGCGAAAAGAACCCCGGCGAGGGGAGUGAAAAAGAACCUGAAACCGUGUACGUACAAGCAGUGGGAGCCUCUUUUAUGGGGUGACUGCGUACCUUUUGUAUAAUGGGUCAGCGACUUAUAUUCUGUAGCAAGGUUAACCGAAUAGGGGAGCCGAAGGGAAACCGAGUCUUAACUGGGCGUUAAGUUGCAGGGUAUAGACCCGAAACCCGGUGAUCUAGCCAUGGGCAGGUUGAAGGUUGGGUAACACUAACUGGAGGACCGAACCGACUAAUGUUGAAAAAUUAGCGGAUGACUUGUGGCUGGGGGUGAAAGGCCAAUCAAACCGGGAGAUAGCUGGUUCUCCCCGAAAGCUAUUUAGGUAGCGCCUCGUGAAUUCAUCUCCGGGGGUAGAGCACUGUUUCGGCAAGGGGGUCAUCCCGACUUACCAACCCGAUGCAAACUGCGAAUACCGGAGAAUGUUAUCACGGGAGACACACGGCGGGUGCUAACGUCCGUCGUGAAGAGGGAAACAACCCAGACCGCCAGCUAAGGUCCCAAAGUCAUGGUUAAGUGGGAAACGAUGUGGGAAGGCCCAGACAGCCAGGAUGUUGGCUUAGAAGCAGCCAUCAUUUAAAGAAAGCGUAAUAGCUCACUGGUCGAGUCGGCCUGCGCGGAAGAUGUAACGGGGCUAAACCAUGCACCGAAGCUGCGGCAGCGACACU
rnacentral:rRNA from 1 species